UCACAGGUUAGAGCGUGGUCGGUGUCCAGAAAGCAUGUUGGAGCCGGGGUGAACCGCUGGGCCUUCUCGGGAACCAUGUGCAGACACGUGCGCCCUUCAAUCUCCUGACCUCUAGGGGUUUGUUGGGCAGAAGCUAGACUUUGAAUGAACCAGGAUGAAUCUGGCUGUGGGAAGGGACUGGUCGGAAUUUCCUAUGGGUCUGGGAGCUGUGUGAAUGCAGUGUGCUGAUAGCACCUUGGCUUGGUUCAGGAUGUCCUGUAUGUAACAGUUUCUUAACUGGACUUGGAAUACAAGAGAAGGCUUCUUGAAAGGAAGACUGGCUGACCCUUUGUUCUCCUGAAAGCAAAGCAUUCUGGCUGAAGCAGUUCCAGAAGGUUAUUGUGCAUGCAGCUUGAGUACAAAAGGCUGUACCCAUUUCUUAGAGGAGGCAAUUAUUAGACCUUGGUGAAAUUUCUCAUGUGGCAGCCUUCCUACCUGGAAAAAGAAAAUAAAAUCUUUAAAGUCAAAAUGCUAUUGUGUUUGGC